rnacentral:lncRNA from 1 species
AGAGAUAUAAUAUCUACGCUAGAUUACAGAUUCAAAUAAAUUGAAUCUUCAAGAUUUGUAUCCCAAUUUGAGAUUUUAAGGUUGAAUGACACAACUGAUUGGGAGAUAUUCAAGCAUUCAAGAAGAGAUUGAGAUUCAUUGCUGGGAAUUGAGUGCCAAGGUACAACAAUAGCUAGGAUUAUUUUCUUUAUUCCGUCUAUUGAAACAGGU